rnacentral:misc_RNA from 1 species
GAGUUCAUGCCCUCCGGGGCAGACCUCCCACCCUUUGUAUACAUUGCCUUUGUUGCUUUGGCGGGCCGCCGCAAGGCCACCGGCUCCGGCUGGUGCGCGCCCGCCAGAGAACCCCAAACCCUGUCUUACAGUGUCGUCCGAGUACUAUAUAAUAGUUAAAACUUUCAACAACGGAUCUCUUGGUUCU